GCCGUUGCUAUGGUAAUCCUUUUAAGUAUGAGAGGAACCGCAGGUUCAGAUAAUUGGUAUAUCUACCUGGUCGAAAGGCCAAUGGCGCGAAGCUACUAUCUGAGGGAUCAAGACCGAACACCUCUAAGUCUGAAUGCCGUCUAUAUUUGCAGAGGUGCAUAAAUCUGGAAAGCUCAGAGAAAAUAUGAAAUGCAGUUAGCACAAUCUGCAAUCAAGCAGCCUAAGAGACUAUUCUCGUACAUAAAUUAAAGAACAAGGAUUAUGGAUUGGAUUCUCAACCCAAUAAAGUAAGAGAACGAAUAUGAAAUGAUAAAGGAUCUUGGGGUGAUAGUGAGUCAUGAUCUUAUGAUCAUGGCCCACUGCCUAGAGGUUGCGGCUAC
rnacentral:ncRNA from 1 species